GAUGAACGCUGGCGGCGUGCCUAAUACAUGCAAGUCGAGCGAACAGACGAGGAGCUUGCUCCUCUGACGUUAGCGGCGGACGGGUGAGUAACACGUGGAUAACCUACCUAUAAGACUGAGAUAACUUCGGGAAACCGGAGCUAAUACCGGAUAAUAUAUUGAACCGCAUGGUUCAAUAGUGAAAGACGGUUUUGCUGUCACUUAUAGAUGGAUCCGCGCCGCAUUAGCUAGUUGGUAAGGUAACGGCUUACCAAGGCAACGAUGCGUAGCCGACCUGAGAGGGUGAUCGGCCACACUGGAACUGAGACACGGUCCAGACUCCUACGGGAGGCAGCAGUAGGGAAUCUUCCGCAAUGGGCGAAAGCUUGACGGAGCAACGCCGCGUGAGUGAUGAAGGUCUUCGGAUCUUAAAACUCUGUUAUUAGGGAAGAACAAAUGUGUAAGUAACUAUGCACGUCUUGACGGUACCUAAUCAGAAAGCCACGGCUAACUACGUG
rnacentral:rRNA from 1 species